GAAAUGCAAUAAGUAGUGUAAAUUAUAGAAUUUAGUAAAUCAUCAAAUCUUUAAACGCACAUUACGCCCCUUAGUAUUCUAUAGGGCAUACCUAUUCGAGCGUCAUCUACACCCUUAAGCUCUGCUUAGUGUUGGGCGUCUAUCCCGCCUUUGCGCGUGGACUCGCCCUAAAUGCAUUGGCAGUGGUCCUUGCCCCCUCCCGCGCAGCACAUUACGCUUCUCGAGGCUGCGGCGGCCCGCGUCUAAUAAGCUAAACCCCCCUGUCUUUGACCUCGGAUUAGAUAGGGAUACCCGCUAAACUUAAGC
rnacentral:misc_RNA from 1 species